UAAAAAUUUAAAUUUAAAAUUUGAAUUUAUAAAAUUUAAAAGUUAUAUAUUUAAAUUUAAAAUUUAAAUAUAUAAUUUAAAAAUUUAAAUUCAAAUAUAAUAUAACGGGCAAUAUCAUUAUUUUCUAUUUAUAACUUCCUAAUAUUCUUCUUAUUCCAUCUUAUUUAUCCAAAAUCCAAAUGCUAUUUUUCUUAUUCCCGGAAAUAACUCAAUUUUCAACAAAAUGUAAAAUUUGUCUAAUUUUUGUUUAUACCUGAACAUAUACCUAUCCCUGAAAUAGACAGUUCUUACUUAUAUCCGAACCAAAUGAAGCCUUAGAGAUCUCUCAUCUAUAAGUCCUAUUAAAAUUGAUGCAUCAACUUCAAAAGUUCAAAUAUUUUUUAUUUACUAUGGAAUAUUUCAUCGGGUCCAGGUCCGGAAUUGAAAACUAUUCCCAACCCUAUCCAUUUAAAAGUUGGGUUCGGAUCGAGUCUAAAUCGGGUAUGGGUAAAAAAUAUCCGGACCCAUAUCCGAAACUUUAAUGGGUAAUUUUUUUACCUGCAUACUAUCUAUUUUUUAUCGAAUCCGGUUCAGCUCCAGAUAGGGUUUAGGUUGGGUAUAGUGCAUCAAAUAUUUUGGACAAUUUU
rnacentral:lncRNA from 1 species